rnacentral:tRNA from 1 species
GCCUGGCUGGCUCAGUCGUUAGAGCAUCUGACUCUUAAUCUCUCAGAGUCGUGAGUUCAAGCCCCACAUUAGGCA